rnacentral:rRNA from 1 species
CUGGUGGCGAGUGGCGAACGGGUGAAUAAUGUAUCUGAACGUGCCUUGUAUCGGGGGAUAACUACCCGAAAGCGUAGCUGAUACCGCAGACGCCCUACGGGGGAAAGCAGGGGAUCGUAAGACCUUGCACUAUUGGAGCGGCCGAUAUCGGAUUAGCUAGUUGGUGGGGUAACGGCUCACCAAGGCAACAAUCCGUAACUGGUUUGAGAGGACGACCAGCCACACUGGGACUGAGACACGGCCCAGACUCCUACGGGAGGCAGCAGUGGGGAAUUUUGGACAAUGGGGGAAACCCUGAUCCAGCCAUCCCGCGUGUGUGAUGAAGGCCUUCGGAUUGUAAAGCACUUUUGGCAGGAAAGAAACGUCGUGGGUUAAUACCCUGCGAAACUGACGGUACCUGCAGAAUAAGCACCGGCUAACUACGUGCCAGCAGCCGCGGUAAUACGUAGGGUGCAAGCGUUAAUCGGAAUUACUGGGCGUAAAGCGUGCGCAGGCGGUUCGGAAAGAAAGAUGUGAAAUCCCAGAGCUUAACUUUGGAACUGCAUUUUUAACUACCGAGCUAGAGUGUGUCAGAGGGAGGUGGAAUUCCGCGUGUAGCAGUGAAAUGCGUAGAUCUGCGGAGGAACACCGAUGGCAAAGGCAGCCUCCUGGGAUAACACUGACGCUCAUGCACGAAAGCGUGGGGAGCAGACAGGAUUAGAUACCCUGGUAGUCCACGCCCUAAACGAUGUCAACUAGCUGUUGGGGCCUUCGGGCCUUGAUAACGCAGCUACGCGUGAAGUUGACCCCCUGGGGAGUACGGUCGCGGGAUUAAACUCAAAGGAAUUGAC